UUUGCAAGGGGUGAUCAUCCAGAAGAGCCAAAAACUGUGGACCGUGGGAGUGACACCCAGGCUGCUGAAGACUGAACUGAGCCAAGAGCAACCCUGUCAAAUCUCCAUCUUUGUGCCAUGAAAACUGGCUACAACUAUAUUAGGAGCUUUUUUUUGUGCAACUCUGCUGCAAAAAUUAAGAAGAGAGCAGCUAGAAACUGUAUCCUUUUAUUGCUCUGUGUGCCUUACCUCUUUUUUGAGUUCAU